rnacentral:rRNA from 1 species
UACAGAGGUCCCAAGCGUUGUUCGGAUUCACUGGGCGUAAAGGGUGCGUAGGUGCAGGGUAAGUUUGAUGUGAAAUCUCCGGGCUUAACCCGGAAACUGCAUUGAAUACUAUCCCGCUCGAGGAUUGGAAGGGAGACUGGAAUACUUGGUGUAGCAGUGAAAUGCGUAGAUAUCAAGUGGAACACCAGUGGCGAAGGCGAGUCUCUGGACAAUUCCUGACACUGAGGCACGAAAGCUAGGGGAGCAAACAGG